CGGUACCUGAGGAAUAAGCAUCGGCUAACUCCGUGCCAGCAGCCGCGGUAAUACGGAGGACGCAAGCGUUGUCCGGAAUUAUUGGGGGGAAAGCGUCUGUAGGUGGAUAUUCAAGUCUGCUGUCAAAGCCCGGUGCUUAACCCUGGAAAGGCAGUGGAAACUGAAGAUCUAGAGUGCGGUAGGGGCAGAGGGAAUUCCCAGUGUAGCGGUGAAAUGCGUAGAGAUUGGGAAGAACACCGGUGGCGAAAGCGCUCUGCUGGGCCUGCACUGACACUGAGGGACGAAAGCUAGGGGAGCGAAUGGGAUUAGAUACCCCAGUAGUCCUAGCCGUAAACGAUGGAUACUGGGCGUAGCUUGUAUCGACCCAAGCUGUGCCGUAGCUAACGCGUUAAGUAUCCCGCCUGGGAGUCCUUCAACAGUGU
rnacentral:rRNA from 2 species